CCUACGGGUGGCAGCAGUGGGGAAUAUUGCACAAUGGGGGGAACCCUGAUGCAGCGACGCCGCGUGAGUGAAGAAGUAUCUCGGUACGUAAAGCUCUAUCAGCAGGGAAGAAAAUGACGGUACCUGACUAAGAAGCCCCGGCUAACUACGUGCCAGCAGCCGCGGUAUUACGUAGGGGGCAAGCGUUAUCCGGAUUUACUGGGUGUAAAGGGAGCGUAGACGGCACUUCAAGUCCGGAGUGAAAGCCCAAGGCUUAACCCUAGGACUGCCGUUGAAACUGUGGAGCUUGAGUGCGGGAGGGGCAGGCGGAAUUCCUAGUGUAGCGGUGAAAUGCGUAGAUAUUAGGAGGAACACCGGCGGCGAAGGCGGCCUGCUGGACCGUAACUGACGUUGAGGCUCGAAAGCGUGGGGAGCAAACAGGAUUAGAUACCCUUGUAGUC
rnacentral:rRNA from 1 species